rnacentral:rRNA from 1 species
GAUGAACGCUGGCGGCGUGCCUAAUACAUGCAAGUCGAGCGAACGGACGAGAAGCUUGCUUCUCUGAUGUUAGCGGCGGACGGGUGAGUAACACGUGGAUAACCUACCUAUAAGACUGGGAUAACUUCGGGAAACCGUAGCUAAUACCGGAUAAUAUUUUGAACCGCAUGGUUCAAAAGUGAAAGACGGUCUUGCUGUCACUUAUAGAUGGAUCCGCGCUGCAUUAGCUAGUUGGUAAGGUAACGGCUUACCAAGGCAACGAUGCAUAGCCGACCUGAGAGGGUGAUCGGCCACACGGGAACGGAGACACGGUCCAGACUCCUACGGGAGGCAGCAGUAGGGAAUGUGCCGCAAUGGGCGAAAGCCUGACGGAGCAACGCCGCGUGAGUGAUGAAGGUCUUCGGAUCGUAAAACUCUGUUAUGAGGGAAGAACAUAUGUGUAAGUAACUGUGCACAUCUUGACGGUACCUAAUCAGAAAGCCACGGCUAACUACGUG